rnacentral:tRNA from 1 species
CCGCGUCGGUGGCGGGGCGCCCGUGCGCGGCGGCGUAGCGCGCCGCGAUCGCGGGGUCGUUCAGGAGCGUGCGGAUGUGGUCC